AGUGAACGCUGGCGGCAGGCCUAACACAUGCAAGUCGAACGGCAGCACAGUAAGAGCUCGCCCUUACGGGUGGCGAGUGGCGGACGGGUGAGGAAUACAUCGGCAUCUACUAUUUCGUGGGGGAUAACGGAGGGACACUUACGCUAAUACAGCAUACGAUCUACGGGUGAAAGCAGAGGAUAUUCGGACCCUGCGCGUCUGAAUGAGACGAUGUCGGAUUAGCUAGUUGGCAAGGUAAAGGCCCACCAAGGCGACGAUCCGUAGCUGGUCUGAGAGGAUGAUCAGCCACACUGGAACUGAGACACGGUCCAGACUCCUACGGGAGGCAGCAGUGGGGAAUAUUGGACAAUGGGCGCAAGCCUGAUCCAGCCAUACCGCGUGGGUGAAGAAGGCCUUCGGGUUGUAAAGCCCUUUUGUUGGGAAAGAAAAGCAGCAUGUUAAUACCCCGCUGUUCUGACGGUACCCAAAGAAUUAGCACCGGCUAACUUCGUG
rnacentral:rRNA from 1 species